rnacentral:rRNA from 1 species
AUUGAACGCUGGCGGCAGGCCUAACACAUGCAAGUCGAACGGUAACAGGAAGCAGCUUGCUGCUUUGCUGACGAGUGGCGGACGGGUGAGUAAUGUCUGGGAAACUGCCCGAUGGAGGGGGAUAACUACUGGAAACGGUAGCUAAUACCGCAUAACGUCGCAAGACCAAAGAGGGGGACCUUAGGGCCUCUUGCCAUCGGCUGUGCCCAGAUGGGAUUAGCUAGUAGGUAGGGUAACGGCUCACCUAGGCGACGAUCCCUAGCUGGUCUGAGAGGAUGACCAGCCACACUGGAACUGAGACACGGUCCAGACUCCUACGGGAGGCAGCAGUGGGGAAUAUUGCACAAUGGGCGCAAGCCUGAUGCAGCCAUGCCGCGUGUAUGAAGAAGGCCUUCGGGUUGUAAAGUACUUUCAGCGGGGAGGAAGGGAGUAAAGUUAAUACCUUUGCUCAUUGACGUUACCCGCAGAAGAAGCACCGGCUAACUCCGUG